CUGCGGUGAUGACUUACUUAGGACACCUUUGGAUUUACCGUGAAAAUAAACACGUUCUGAGCAGC
ensembl:snoRNA SNORD58 Small nucleolar RNA SNORD58